AUGAUGAAACAAAUGCUUAGGGUUUUGAUGUUUGGAGGCCAAGGAUUGAUAAAAUAUCCAUACAAGGUAUUUGAUGACCCAACAGAAUUAACACCAGAUGAUUUGUAUGAUUUGCGACUUCGUUGGCCAAAAUGUUUCUUUGAGUUACAUGAAAAUUAA